rnacentral:tRNA from 1 species
AAGAUAGUAGUAUAAUUUCAUUACUUCUGCCUUCCAAGCAGAGAAUCUAGUAGUUAGCUAUUUUA